UACGGAGGGGGCUAGCGUUGUUCGGAAUUACUGGGCGUAAAGCGCACGUAGGCGGUUACUCAAGUCAGAGGUGAAAGCCCGGAGCUUAACUCCGGAAUUGCCUUUGAAACUAGGUGACUUGAAUCCAGGAGAGGUGAGUGGAAUUCCGAGUGUAGAGGUGAAAUUCGUAGAUAUUCGGAAGAACACCAGUGGCGAAGGCGGCUCACUGGACUGGUAUUGACGCUGAGGUGCGAAAGCGUGGGGAGCAACAGG
rnacentral:rRNA from 1 species